UUCCACCACCCACCUCCUUGCCCACCUCCGACAUCACCGCCGUCGUGAGUCUGAGCCCUGACGACCACCAGAGCUGAUCUUCUUCUCGAUUAUUCUCCUCGACGACAUCUCACCCUAGACCUAGAGAACCCAGGAACCCGCACCACCCAUCUUCUCGAUUCUCUUUCUCUCCUUCCCGACGACAUCACCGCCCUUGCGAUCACUAACACUCCACCGCCGUUGCCAGUUCAGGAUAUCAAGCGACACAAGGAAUACCGGGAUCUCAAGGGACACAAGGAGUUGAUUCAUUGUCAGUUAGAACCAGGUACUUCUCUUUCAAUUGUUUCUUUUCUUUAUUUACACAGGAUUUAGUUAGUCACUGUAUUUAUAUAUGGCUCAUUAUAUUUAUUUUUCUUAUUAUUCUCCCCGUUUGGUAUGCAGGGCUGUGGACAAAAUUUUAGAAGGAAAAACUAGAAAGCUAUGUGCCCGAAUGUUCUAUGAAACACUGGUUUUGAAGACUUAUGGUCUUGUUGAUGUAAAACAAGAAGUACCUUAUGGUGACAUUAUUUUGACAUUGAACCCAACCCUAUCAAAAGCUCAAAUUUAAAAAUAGGAUAUAAGGUAAUUUAGAGCAUGCUUAUCGUUGCAAUAUUUUUCCUGGAAUCAUAUACACUUUGAUAUGUUUCAGUAUUCGGGCUUUCUGAUAUUUGGCCACUCUGUAAGAUUUGGCAUGAGUAGCAAGUUUUGUCUAAUCACGGUGUUUUAACCACAAAGGUAGCUACACUGUA